GGAUCCAUUGUGCGAGAAGCCGCGUAGCUUGUGACGUCAUGACCGGUUCGCUGUUCCUUCCGGCCUUAGGAUCUGAAGAGCAGCAGUAGAAGUCGCUCAUUUAAUAAACACUACCAACAUGCAGAGCGGGCAGAAGGAGAAAAAUCUUGAUCCCAGAAAGGGCAGGACAUGAGUACCUAAGGAGAAGUUGAUGCUUGAGAGGAAGUGAAACCUGUAACAGCUGCACUAGGUUUCAGUCUCUGGUGGUUUUUCAUUUAGGAGGAAAGAAAAAUUUAUAAACACGACUGUAAAAAUUGUAUGAUGCAAACUCCUUGGAAUCUUGGCCGAAGUGAAAGAUAUCAAAAGACAUAAAAUGGCAAAUGUCCCAAUUUUUGGAAGAGCCACAGAGACCACACCCUGAGUCAGUCACCUGCACAGGAAGCUCAUCACUUUCAAGAAUCUGAAAUCACAAGGUGUUUAAUAUUUAUAAUAUAUAAAGAACAGCAAAAAUUAGACACCAAAGAAAUAAAGUUGACAGUCGAUAAAUGGGCUGAUGAUGGAAACAGAAGAAAUACAAUUAAAAAAUAUAUAAAUGAACAACAAGUAUUUGAAAAAGCAUUCUACAUCUCUUGCCACCAGAAAUACAAACUGAAGCAGUGAGGAUGGCCACCAUCAAGAAAGCAAGUGACAACCAAUCCGGUAAAGAUGUACAGAAGAGGAACACGUAUGUGGUUGUUGGUGGUGUAAACGAGUGCAGCCACUGUAGAAAUCAGUGUGGAGGGUUGUUAAAAAAAAUAAAAAUAGAAUUACUAUAA